rnacentral:rRNA from 1 species
GACGAACCGUGCUAACGUUGUUCGGAAUCACUGGGCUUAAAGGGCGCGUAGGCGGGCCGGCAAGUCAGGGGUGAAAGCCCGCGGCUCAACCGCGGAAGCGCCUCUGAUACUGCCGGCCUCGAGGGGGGUAGGGGCGUGCGGAACUUCCGGUGGAGCGGUGAAAUGCGUAGAUAUCGGAAGGAACACCGGUGGCGAAAGCGGCGCGCUGGACCCCUUCUGACGCUGAGGCGCGAAAGCCAGGGGAGCAAACGGG